GAUGAACGCUGGCGGCGUGCCUAAUACAUGCAAGUCGAGCGAACGGACGAGAAGCUUGCUUCUCUGAUGUUAGCGGCGGACGGGUGAGUAACACGUGGAUAACCUACCUAUAAGACUGGGAUAACUUCGGGAAACCGGAGCUAAUACCGGAUAAUAUUUUGAACCGCAUGGUUCAAAAGUGAAAGACGGUCUUGCUGUCACUUAUAGAUGGAUCCGCGCUGCAUUAGCUAGUUGGUAAGGUAACGGCUUACCAAGGCAACGAUGCAUAGCCGACCUGAGAGGGUGAUCGGCCACACUGGAACUGAGACACGGUCCAGACUCCUACGGGAGGCAGCAGUAGGGAAUCUUCCGCAAAGGGCGAGAGCCUGACGGAGCAACGCCGCGUGAGUGAUGAAGGUCUUCGGAUCGUAAAACUCUGUUAUUAGGGAAGAACAUAUGUGUAAGUAACUGUGCACAUCUUGACGGUACCUAAUCAGAAAGCCACGGCUAACUACGUG
rnacentral:rRNA from 1 species